UCACAGCCCCAAACCAGAAUGGCGGAAACAUUCGGGGGUGGAUGACUUCACGUAGUAUCACAACCAUUGAAUAUUGUAAAGAAAGUAACACAACCAUCACAUAUAUAAUGAAAACGUAUGUUGUUGCGUUAUACAUAUUAGCAAAAGAAUAUUACAAUGAGAUGAUAAAUGUUCCAUAAUAAAACAUCCUUAGUGUUCCUUUCUCCAAAAGCUGGUGGUUACCUGUAUUACUGAUUCCCUGAGAAAUACAAGUGGUUUCGAAAAAGUGUCAACAAUUAAGUUGGUGAGUUCAUAAGCGUUUUGUAUUGAAAAGUAUGUCCUUUUUGAUAGUAAACCGAUGAACGAGGUUUUUAGAAAAUCCAAUAUUUUCUAUAAAUGAUUUGAAAAGUUCCCGUGUUGGAGUGCAUUACUGUUUUCCAUGCUUGAAUAAUAGGGAUAAAAUUUGUGUAAACUAUAAAAUGGAAAACUGAAAUGCAUGUAUGAAUCUCGUAAAUCUAACUUGUUUUUAUACUUUUAUGUGAGUUUUAUAACCAUGCUAAUGACAUUGUUGGCCUGUAACAACGUUCUUCAGGCGUUGGAACUGUUAUGACAUUUGUCACCCCAGGCCUGCCGGCCUAGCUGUAGCUAACAGCUUAGGUGUGGGAUUGUCAAUCCCGUAUAGAUCUAUACACAAGUAUCACGCUCCCCCUACAAGGGAUUAUGGUAUAUAAUACAGGACUUAAUAAUGCAUACUCGAACGUACGUGAAGCUGUCUCACAUUACUAGGUAUAAACAGAUUUACGAUGAUAAAAGACUGUACUUCUUUUGAAAGCAUUUCAUUUGUCGAGAUGUAUAUGUAAAAUGUAUGAAUCACUUGAAUACUAUGCUCAUUAUAGUUUGUCAAAAGUAUGUUCCCAUUUGGUAAUAACAACUUGGUGAUAUAAUAUCCCUUUAAAACAUAAAGUUAUUUUUGUAUCAACACUCUAUAAGAACGAUAUUAUAAAAAUAAUACUUUGAUUUGUAAUGUACUUGUAUUUCCCCCCUAAAACGUGAAAAGAAUUGAAAAGUAGGGGUAUGAACUCACUCGUUUCGAAGAGAGAGGCUAGGGUUGAGCAGAACUUCGUCCGCGGAUGGUCGCGUCGUCGGGCUCUUCGGGGAUCUCUGCAGCGUAAAUCUUCCGUCGGGGGCUCGAGUGCGGAAACCGAGGUGAGAAAAAUGGUCUCUGGAACUUAGUGGUAUGGGAGAAUGACUGAGAAGUUGUGAAAGUGUGCAAAAACUCGAAGCUGAACCUUUCUAUUUAUAGGCUGGAAUUGCCUCGUACGCGGGGCGUAAUUUUGGAGUACGCGGGGCGUACUCACGUACGCAGCGCGUACGUCGUUACGCUGGGCGUAAUAUGGCGUCAUGGCUUACGACUCCUGGCUAGCUAAGCGUAGCUUGGGCGGGCCGAUGGGACUCGACUCUGGGUCUAGUACGCGGGGCGUACUCCCAGAGUACGCGGGGCGUAAUCCCUGCUUCCGACUUCUAAAUUCCGUAACUUUCGCGUACGAUCUCCGUUUUUCGCGUUCUUUAUAUCCACGCGUAGGUGAGAUUAUGCUCUACAACUUUCCUUUAGACUCCGUCGGCUAGUUUUGACUUUAUUUUUAAUGAUAUAUUUUUAAUAGGCCGGGCCUCCUAAAGUUCGUUAAAAAUUCAUAGGUUCUUUAUUCGACGUCGGUUUUCGUCUGUCUUUUUAUUGUUUUAUUACUACUGAGGAGAUCUUCAACUUUCGUUUAGGUUGCGUUAGCUAAAUAACACUCGAUCUUCAAUCCGAGUUUUUAGCCCUCUACUACUGUUACGAAACUUUGAAAAUUCGUAACUUCUUCAUACGAGGUCCAAUUUGGGCGAUCUUUUUAUGUACGUUCACCUUUCAACGAGAUCUACGACUUUUGUUUAGAUACUUAAGGCUUAAAAAUCAUUUUAUUGAGAUUCUACUUUUUAUGUCAAAUAUUGUUUUAACGUCGCGUCGUAAAUAUACGAGUGGUUAUAAUUUCUUCAAUAUAACCCGGUUUUGAGCGUUCUUUAUGUUUUUGGAAACCUUGGCAUGAUAUCUAAUAUUCGAUGCAUCCCAACUUAGAUACUUGAACACUUUAUUUUCGAGGUUAAUUUCGUUGUUUUUAGCUUUCGAGUGUUUACAAUGCUUUUUGGGAAAAAUAGGGUUGUCACAUCAUCCCCCUGUUAAGGGAAUUUCGUCCCGAAAUUUACUCUAAGAUAGAGUUUACAGUUUUAGGAAAAAGAUGCGGGUACUUUUGUUUCAUCUGAUCUUCGCGUUCCCAGGUGUAUUCAGGUCCUCGCUUGGCGUUCCAGCGGACCUUUACAAUGGGUAUGCGGCUUUGUUUAGUCCUUUUGAUUUCCCGAUCCAUGAUCUCUACUGGUUCCUCCACAAAUUGAAGGUUUUCAUUUAUUGCAAUUUCGUCUAGAGGGACGACAAGGGUCUCGUCGGAUAAGCACUUCUUUAGAUUUGAUACGUGAAAGGUAGGGUGUACGUUGUGGAGUUCCUGAGGUAGUCUAAGUUUGUAAGCCACUGGACCGAUCCUGGCAAGGAUCUCGAAUGGUCCGAUGUAUCUAGGGUUCAGUUUUCCACGUUUUCCGAAGCGUAUUAAGCCUUUCCAAGGUGAGACUUUGAGUAGGACAUGGUCUCCAACUUGGAAUUCCAAGGGUUUGCGUCUCUUAUCUGCGUAACUCUUUUGUCUAUCUCUUGAUGCUUUUAGACGUUCUCGGAUUUGAACAAUCUUCUCCGUAGUCUCCCUUAUGAUUUCUGGUCCAGUGAGCGUGUUGUCAGUUGCUUGUCCUUUUGCUAGUUGCGUGUCCCCCACUUCGGCCCAGCACAAAGGUGACCUGCAUUUGCGGCCAUAGAGGGCUUCGAACGGGGCAGCCUUGAUACUGGUGUGGUAGCUAUUGUUGUACGAGAACUCGACCAAUGGUAGAUGUGUGUCCCAUGCUUUGCCAAAAUCGAUUACGCAAGCUCUCAGCAUGUCUUCUAGGGUUUGUAUAGUUCUCUCACUCUGGCCGUCGGUUUGUGGGUGAUAAGCGGUACUCAUGUCUAGUCUUGUCCCCAAAGCUUUUUGUAGCGACUGCCAGAACCUUGAGGUGAAUCUACUAUCUCGGUCCGAGAUAAUGGAUAUGGGCACACCAUGCAGUCGUACAAUUUCUCUGAGGUAUGUCCUUGUUAACUUCUCCAAUUUAUCCGUCUCUUUGAUCGGUAGGAAAUGCGCUGACUUAGUUAACCUGUCGACAAUUACCCAAAUGGUGUCGAGUCCGCUUGUUGUCUUGGGCAAUUUUGUUAUGAAAUCCAUGGUUAUCCGCUCCCACUUCCAUUCGGGUAUUUCUGGUUGUUGUAAUAAACCCGAGGGCUUCUGAUAUUCCACCUUGACUUUGGCACAUGUCAGGCAUUUGCUUACGUAGGUAGCAAUUUCGGCUUUCAUGUUUUGCCACCAGUACAAUUUCUUGAGAUCGAGAUACAUCUUAUCGGAGCCGGGAUGUAUGGAGUAUCGUGUUUUAUGGGCUUCGUCCAUAACGAUUUCUCUGAAUCCACCAAACUUCGGUAUCCAAAUUCGAUCCAUGAAAUAACGAAUUCCGUUGUUCUUGGUCUCAAGGUUCUUAUCCAUUCCUCUUAGGGCUUCUCCUGUCACAUUUUCGGAUUUCAAGGCUUCUAUUUGGGCUUCCUUGAUUUGCGUGAACAGGUGUGAAUGGAUUGUCAUAGUUAGGGAUUUCACUCGGCGACCUGAGUACUCCUUCCGACUGAGUGCAUCAGCCACUACAUUAGCCUUUCCGGGGUGAUAUCGAAUUUCGCAUUCAUAAUCACUAAGUAGUUCUACCCAUCGCCUCUGUCUCAUGUUGAGUUCCUUCUGGUUGAGGAUAUGUUGGAGGCUUUUAUGAUCAGUGAAGAUGGUACAUUUUGUGCCGUAGAGAUAGUGUCUCCAUAUCUUCAGAGCGAAGACGACUGCUCCUAGCUCAAGAUCAUGCGUUGUGUAGUUCACUUCGUGCGUCUUUAGUUGUCUUGAGGCGUAGGCGAUGACCUUCCCUCUUUGCAUUAAGACACACCCAAGUCCUUGGUUUGAAGCAUCACAAUAGACCACGAAGUCCUCCGUUCCUUCUGGCAAGGUUAGGAUGGGCGCACUACAUAAGGCUCGCUUUAGUGUCUGAAAUGCACUGUCUUGUUUUUCUCCCCAGUCGAAGGUCACAUUCUUCUGGGUUAGGGUGGUAAGUGGCUUGGCAAUCUUUGAAAAGUUCGGUAUGAAUCUUCGGUAAUACCCGGCGAGUCCCAAAAAUUGCCGGAUUUCUGUAGGGGUUCUUGGAGUAGUCCAAUUAUCUAUUGCCUUUAUCUUGGAAGGGUCCACGUGUAUUCCUUCUUUGCUUACAACAUGUCCUAGGAAAUCCACUUCCCGAAUCCAAAAUUCACAUUUGGAAAAUUUUGCGUAAAGUUUCUCUGCCCUUAAUGUUUCCAGUACUUGGCGGAGGUGUUUGCUGUGUUCUUCCUGGCUUCUUGAAUAGAUGAGUAUAUCAUCUAUGAACACGAUCACGAACUUGUCCAGGAAGGGACGACAUACUCGGUUCAUCAAGUCCAUGAACACUGCUGGAGCAUUCGUCAAUCCGAAGGGCAUUACCACAAAUUCGUAGUGACCAUAACGUGUUCGGAAAGCCGUUUUGGGGAUGUCUCCUUCCAGUACUCGUAGUUGGUGAUAACCAGACCUUAGAUCGAUCUUUGAGAAGUAGCUUGCCCCCUGCAGUUGGUCGAAUAGAUCGUCUAUGCGCGGUAAGGGAUAUCGGUUCUUGAUUGUGAGUUUGUUUAGCUCCCGAUAAUCGAUGCACAUGCGAAAGGAUCCGUCCUUCUUCUUCACAAAUAGGACUGGCGCUCCCCAUGGUGAGAAACUUGGUCUGAUGAAUCCCUUGCUUAGCAGCUCGUUUAAUUGACUGGAUAGUUCCUGCAUCUCGGCUGGGGCUAAACGGUACGGCGACUUUGCUACAGGGGUAGCCCCGGGGAUUAAGUCGAUUCUGAACUCGACUUGACGUUCCGGUGGGAUUCCUGGAAGAUCUUCUGGGAAAAUAUCCGGGAAGUUGCAGACUUCCGGAAUAUCUUUAAUGUUUUUCGAUUCUCGUUUCUUGUCUACUACGUGGGCUAGAAAGGCAUGAUAUUCCUUACGAAGAUACUUUUGUGCUUUAAUACAGGAAAUGAUUUGUAAACUUGAACUAGGUUUGUCGCCAUAAAUGACAAGAGUUUCACCGUUUGGCAGAUUUAAGCGAACAGCCCUUUCGUGGCAAAGGAUAUCGGCAUGGUGAAGGCUCAACCAGUCCAUACCGAUGAUGACAUCGAAACUUCUUAUGGAAAUGGGCAUAAGAUCGACUUGAAACAAGUGCUCGUUUAAAUUUAGUGUGCACCCUACGUAUAAAUCGUUUGCGUGUUCUGUUUUACCGUUUGCCAUUUCUACAGUGAAUAUUUUAUUGAGUGGUUGGGGUUCUUGAUUAAGUAGGUGUUUGAAUUUAUGACUCACAAAACUUCUCUCCGCACCGCAGUCAAAAAGUAUGCAUGCAUAAGUGUUGUUGAGUAGAAACGUACCCGUAACCACCGUGGGGUCCGCUAUUGCUUCUCUCUGUCCUACUGCCAGCACUCUCCCCACACCGCCAAUAUUCCUUUCCUUGGGACAAUCCCUCCUGAAGUGUCCAGUCUCUCCGCACCCAUAACAUGCCCGGCUUACCCCAGUUCCAGGAACCUGAGUAAUUGGUCGUGCCGGUGCUUUACAGAAACGGGCUGUGUGCCCUUUCCUGUCACAGUUCUUGCAGUGCAUCUCGCGACAAAUACCAUGGUGAUGGUAGUUGCACUUGCUGCACUUGGGCAGAAUCCCUGCAUAUGGUUUUGUUGGUGCAGAGGUAGCAGGAGUUGUGGUGGGGGUAGUAGCAGCAUAAACCGCAACCAUUUGUUUCUUUGAAGGUUCUUGUGAAGUUUGCCCCUUCCUUUUGUUCCAAAAUUUCUUCUUGUUGUUGUUGUUGGCAUUGAUUUCAUUGUUGCUGUUCCCUUUGGUUGGUUCAGCCAUAAUCGCCGCGACUCCUUGACAGACACCAUGAUCAACAAGAGAUUGCGCUAGUUCCUUGGCGCUGGCGAAAGUCAAGGGUCUGGAAGCUAGCACACUUCCUCGAAGUUGGGGUGAUAGUCCCCAAAUGUAUCUCUCAACCUUUUGGCUCUCCAGGGUUAACAUUCCUGGGCAAAGUGUUAUUAAGUCACUGAACCUGUUGGUGUAACCAGCUAUGUCCGAUCCUACCAUCGAGAGGUUCCACAGUUCCUGUUCAAGCUUCUGAAUCUCGCCUCUUGGGCAGUAUUCUCGAAGGAGCAUUCUUUUCAGGUUUUCCCAACCCAUGGAGUUUGCCACCACCAGGGUUAGUGUCUGGACGUGGCCGUUCCACCAUGUCAGGGCGCGUUCAGAGAAAGUAAAAGCGGCGAACUUUACUUUGCUUUCUUCAGGACAUGCACAGAUUUCGAAUACAGCUUCUGUUUUCUCUAUCCAUUGAGAUAGAGCCAAUACUCCCCCAGUCCCGCAAAAGGGAAUAGGUUUUCCGUUGGUGAAGUCUUUGUAAGUGCAUACCCCUGAACGGCUUUGACCUUGGCCAUUUGUAAAACUGUUUGUUCCUCCCCCCGAUCCGUUGUUGCUCAUUUGAGCCAUUGCUGCAGUUACAGCAGCGGUUACAGCAGUCUGGAACAUAACGGUGUCCAUAAUUGGAGGAGGUGGUGGAGGUGGUGUUGAAGUUGAGUUUCUGCGUGUUGAUCUACGAGGAGGCAUGUUCUGGUAGAGAAAAAUAAGAAUGAAUACUAUAAGUUUCUAAUGUUUUGACAAUCGUGUGUUAGUUGUAUCUUGUAAUUUGUUUUGACUUUAGUUUAUGGUUUCAAGGUAGGCAUAGAAAUUUAAAACUCGAAAUUUUUGAGAGGUAUAUAAUAAGAAAUACUUCAUAUUUAUACAUAUAGGUCACACCUGAGGUGUGUUACAUUGCAUAUCUUGUUCGGGAAAAUUUGAUCCUCCUAGAGAUCUCCGAUUACGGAUACAACAGGGAAAACAAGGGAAAUAAAGGAAAAACUUUUAUCCGAAAUCCUAAUCUAUAACAAAAUUGUUGGGGCUCGAACAAGUUCUACUUGCGGCGUUUGGAGCUAGAUUCGGCAUCCGACCGUUUGACUCCCAUUAGUCGCCUCUCAAGAUCUGCUUGUUGUUCCUUCAUCUCUCUUAUUUCUGCCAGAGCCGUUAUCAUUUGGUUCUGAAGUGUCCCCGUGUAGAUUUGGGUAUUCUCAUGUAGUCCUUCCAAACGGCGGAUGUCAGCGGCGUUACCUUGGGUAGCAGCAUUGACCUCGCGAACUCUGGUUGCUUGCCUGUCCGUCUCGUAGUUCUGGGUAGCUAUAGCGUUCACAAGAACAGGAAGUGCUCGAUCAGCUGAGCUUCCCCCACUGACAUUGUAAAAAUCUCGGCACAUGCCGAAAGGAGGGCGUACACCUUGUUGGCGGCUCCAGUAGUAGAGGUGACUUCCCCACAUGGGAAUGGGUCCCGGUUGAUAUGGUCUGAUUUCGGGAGGAUGAGGGAUGGGAGGGUCGUACACUUCUGGCUCGGAGUCUGUCCCGCUAGAAAUCUCCUCGAUCUCUUCGUCGACUUCGAAUUCCUCUCCGACUUCGACUUCGAAUUCUCCCUCGAUAACCCCUUCGGGUUCUUCCUCGACCUCUUCUUCGAUUUCCUCUGGGUCUUCCUCCGGGUCUUCUUCUAUCCAACCGCCGUUGCCUUGGUUUGGGUAGUAGGGAUCUCCUGGUAAAUGGAAUCCGGCCAUUUGUCUGUACUAGGAUAGAUGUAUGAGAACUUUAUAAGAAAAGAAAAUUCUAUUUAACGACUUACUAUUUUUAACUAUAAUUUGUACAACUAUUUUUAAUAAUACUCCUAUAAUAUUUCAAUUUGGCGAAACUAAAUUAAUUUGUAUUUGGUAAGUUCUUGGCUUGUUGUCCACUAUGACCAUUCCUCGACGUACGUUGGUCAAAUCCAGGAUAAAUAUAGUUGAUCAGGCUAUAUUUAUUCUCGACCUGAUUACAUACCCCGAGGCUCAAUCGUAGUGUCGUAACUUGCCUUAAUACUUUUUAGUAAAACUUGUUAUGAUACGAGAUUAAUGCAUGCUUGUAAAAAUGUAUAUCUUUAAAAGAAAGUAUUUUGUUCAUGAAAAUGUUUCAUCAGAGGGUUUUUGGUCCCCUUUGCAUUUAUAGUUUGUAUAUCGUAUGUGGUUCGAUAUACUUAGUUCACUAUAAACAAUGCUCUGAUACCAAUCUGUCACACCCCCAAACCAGAAUGGCGGAAACAUUCGGGGGUGGAUGACUUCACGUAGUAUCACAACCAUUGAAUAUUGUAAAGAAAGUAACACAACCAUCACAUAUAUAAUGAAAACGUAUGUUGUUGCGUUAUACAUAAUAGCAAAAGAAUAUUACAAUGAGAUGAUAAAUGUUCAAUAAUAAAACAUCUUUAGUGUUUCCUUCUCCAAAAGCUGGUAGUUACCUGUAUUACUGAUUCCCUGAGAAAUACAAGUGGUUUCGAAAAAGUGUCAACAAUUAAGUUGGUGAGUUCAUAAGUGUUUUGCAUUGAAAAGUAUGUCCUUUUUGAUAGUAAAUCGAUGAACGAGGUUUUCAGAAAAUCCAAUAUUUUCUAUAAAUGAUUUGAAAAGUU
rnacentral:lncRNA from 1 species